rnacentral:rRNA from 1 species
GAGUUUGAUUCUGGCUCAGAACGAACGCUGGCGGCAGGCCUAACACAUGCAAGUCGAGCGCAGUCCUUCGGGACCGAGCGGCGGACGGGUUAGUAACGCGUGGGAACAUACCCUUUUCUACGGAAUAGCCUCGGGAAACUGAGAGUAAUACCGUAUAAGCCCUUCGGGGGAAAGAUUUAUCGGGAAAGGAUUGGCCCGCGUUAGAUUAGAUAGUUGGUGGGGUAAUGGCCUACCAAGUCUACGAUCUAUAGCUGGUUUUAGAGGAUGAUCAGCAACACUGGGACUGAGACACGGCCCAGACUCCUACGGGAGGCAGCAGUGGGGAAUCUUAGACAAUGGGCGCAAGCGUGAUCUAGCCAUGCCGCGUGUGUGAUGGAGGUCUUAGGAUCGUAAAGCACUUUCGCCAGGGAUGAUAAUGACAGUACCUGGUAAAGAAACCCCGGCUAACUCCGUGCCAGCAGCCGCGGUAAUACGGAGGGGGUUAGCGUUGUUCGGAAUUACUGGGCGUAAAGCGUACGUAGGCGGAUCAGAAAGUUAGGGGUGAAAUCCCGAGGCUCAACCUCGGAACUGCCUCUAAAACUCCUGGUCUUGAGUUCGAGAGAGGUGAGUGGAAUUCCAAGUGUAGAGGUGAAAUUCGUAGAUAUUUGGAGGAACACCAGUGGCGAAGGCGGCUCACUGGCUCGAUACUGACGCUGAGGUACGAAAGUGUGGGGAGCAAACAGGAUUAGAUACCCUGGUAGUCCACACCGUAAACGAUGAAUGCCAGUCGUCGGGCAGUAUACUGUUCGGUGACACACCUAACGGAUUAAGCAUUCCGCCUGGGAAGUACGGUCGCAAGAUUAAAACUCAAAGGAAUUGACGGGGGCCCGCACAAGCGGUGGAGCAUGUGGUUUAAUUUGAAGCAACGCGCAGAACCUUACCAACCCUUGACAUCCUGUGCUAACUCGAGAGAUCGAGUGUUUACUUCGGUAACGCAGUGACAGGUGCUGCAUGGCUGUAGUCAGCUCGUGUCGUGAGAUGUUCGGUUAAGUCCGGCAACGAGCGCAACCCACAUCCUUAGUUGCCAGCAGUUCGGCUGGGCACUCUAGGGAAACUGCCCGUGAUAAGCGGGAGGAAGGUGUGGAUGACGUCAAGUCCUCAUGGCCCUUACGGGUUGGGCUACACACGUGCUACAAUGACAGUGACAAUGGGUUAAUCCCAAAAAGCUGUCUCAGUUUGGAUUGGGGUCUGCAACUCGACCCCAUGAAGUCGGAAUCGCUAGUAAUCGCGUAACAGCAUGACGCGGUGAAUACGUUCCCGGGCCUUGUACACACCGCCCGUCACACCAUGGGAGUUGGUUCUACCCGACGACGCUGCGCUAACCCUUCGGGGAGGCAGGCGGCCACGGUAGGAUCAGCGACUGGGGUGAAGUUGUAACAAGGUAGCCGUARARDNWDCUARSBSACUNCUURDMARNAHARUBACURUMCNARARDNWDCUARGAGUUUGAUCCUGGCUCAAAACGAACGCUGGCGGCAGGCCUAAUACGUGCAAGUCGAGCGCGCCCUUCGGGGUGAGCGGCGGACGGGUGAGUAACGCGUGGGAAUAUGCCCUUCUCUAAGGAAUAGCCUCGGGAAACUGAGAGUAAUACCUUAUACGCCCUACGGGGGAAAGAUUUAUCGGAGAAGGAUUAGCCCGCGUUAGAUUAGGUAGUUGGUGGGGUAAUGGCCUACCAAGCCUACAAUCUAUAGCUGGUUUGAGAGGAUGAUCAGCCACACUGGGACUGAGACACGGCCCAAACUCCUACGGGAGGCAGCAGUAGGGAAUCUUAGACAAUGGGGGAAACCCUGAUCUAGCCAUGCCGCGUGUGUGAUGAAGGCCUUAGGGUCGUAAAGCACUUUCGCCAGAGAUGAUAAUGACAGUAUCUGGUAAAGAAACCCCGGCUAACUCCGUGCCAGCAGCCGCGGUAAUACGGAGGGGGUUAGCGUUGUUCGGAAUUACUGGGCGUAAAGCGUACGUAGGCGGAUUAGUCAGUCAGAGGUGAAAUCCCAGGGCUCAACCCUGGAACUGCCUUUGAUACUGCUAGUCUUGAGUUCGAGAGAGGUGAGUGGAAUUCCAAGUGUAGAGGUGAAAUUCGUAGAUAUUUGGAGGAACACCAGUGGCGAAGGCGGCUCACUGGCUCGAUACUGACGCUGAGGUACGAAAGUGUGGGGAGCAAACAGGAUUAGAUACCCUGGUAGUCCACACCGUAAACGAUGAAUGCCAGUCGUCGGGCAGUAUACUGUUCGGUGACACACCUAACGGAUUAAGCAUUCCGCCUGGGGAGUACGGUCGCAAGAUUAAAACUCAAAGGAAUUGACGGGGGCCCGCACAAGCGGUGGAGCAUGUGGUUUAAUUCGAAGCAACGCGCAGAACCUUACCAACCCUUGACAUCCUAUGACAACCUGAGAGAUCAGGCUUUCCUUCGGGACAUAGUGACAGGUGCUGCAUGGCUGUCGUCAGCUCGUGUCGUGAGAUGUUCGGUUAAGUCCGGCAACGAGCGCAACCCACAUCCCUAGUUGCCAGCAGUUCGGCUGGGCACUCUAUGGAAACUGCCCGUGAUAAGCGGGAGGAAGGUGUGGAUGACGUCAAGUCAUCAUGGCCCUUACGAGUAGGGCUACACACGUGCUACAAUGGCGAGUACAAAGGGAUGCAAACUGGUGACAGUAAGCGGACCCCUUAAAGCUCGUCGUAGUCCGGAUUGGAGUCUGCAACUCGACUCCAUGAAGUCGGAAUCGCUAGUAAUCGUAGGUCAGCAUACUACGGUGAAUACGUUCCCGGGCCUUGUACACACCGCCCGUCACACCAUGGGAGUGGGAUGCAAAAGAAGUAGGUAGCUUAACCUUCGGGAUGGCGCUUACCACUUUGUGUUUCAUGACUGGGGUGAAGUCGUAACAAGGUAGCCGUAR